rnacentral:tRNA from 1 species
GCACCCGUAGCUCAGUUGGAUAGAGCGCUGCCCUCCGAAGGCAGAGGUCAGAGGUUCGAAUCCUCUCGGGUGCGCCA